UACGUAGGGACCGAGCGUUGUCCGGAAUUACUGGGCGUAAAGGGCUCGUAGGCGGCCAACUAAGUCAGACGUGAAAUCCCUCGGCUUAACCGGGGAACUGCACCUGAUACUGGAUGGCUUGAGUUCGGGAGAGGGAUGCGGAAUUCCAGGUGUAGCGGUGAAAUGCGUAGAUAUCUGGAGGAACACCGGUGGCGAAGGCGGCAUCCUGGACCGACACUGACGCUGAGGAGCGAAAGCCAGGGGAGCAAACGGG
rnacentral:rRNA from 1 species